UUGGAUCUCAACACAAGUACUUGUGUGAAAAUUAUUCUACACAAGUUAUGUGUUGUUUUGCAUUGCAUUAACACAAACUUGUGUUCUUUUUAAUGCAUUAACACAAAUCUUGUGUUUUUUCCAUAUAAUUAACACAAGUAAUGUGUACCGUCAACAAAUAUUUUUUUUUUUAAAUUUGAACUCCAUACAAAGUCUUAAUCCGGGGGUCCACAAGUAAGAGAAAGGUAUUUUUUACUCAGACAAUAUAGCCAGACAGACUUGAAUGCUAAUUGGUGUUAAGAUGUCUGUAGUUAAAAUAAAGUUGGGCCCAAUAAACUGGUAGAUCAAAGGCCUGUUGAGCGCUCAUGCCCGGUGUGAUUUUAACAAUUGACUCCAAAUGCGUUGACAAGAAAAUAAGUAAAACUGUUAUUGACUGUGAUUGGUUGAUAAAAUCAACGUACUAUAGACUACAUUUUGUCUGCGAUAUCAUCUCGGUGGAAGCGGACAUUAAAUGAAGUGAUUUCACACAAUUAAUUUAACAUUUAACAACGUGCUGAAAUGAUUUUGGAGCAGUGAUAUGUUUGACAAAUGUAAGCUAAUGGUCACAUAGAAUACAAGACCGCAGAAUCACAUUAUGAUUAAAGCAGAAACGGUUCGACUUGAACCAGCAGACGGAAGAUAUGGACGAACAACAAGAAGAAGUUAUGGAGGUCCCAACAACUGAACCUAUGGAAGUAGAAGAAUCGUUUACAGCCGAAACCCGAUACGAUGUGCCAGUUCCGGUUAUGGAGUCCUCCAUCUCAGACGAUGCCGACGUUAGUGUCUUCUGCGACGAAGAACCCGUAGUGGUGUAUCACUAUAAACCUCA